AUGAACGCUGGCGGCGUGCCUCAUACAUGCCAGUCGAGCGAACAGAUAAGGAGCUUGCUCCUUUGACGUUAGCGGCGGACGGGUGAGUAACACGUGGGUAACCUACCUAUAAGACUGGAAUAACUCCGGGAAACCGGGGCUAAUGCCGGAUAACAUUUAGAACCGCAUGGUUCUAAAGUGAAAGAUGGUUUUGCUAUCACUUAUAGAUGGACCCGCGCCGUAUUAGCUAGUUGGUAAGGUAACGGCUUACCAAGGCAACGAUACGUAGCCGACCUGAGAGGGUGAUCGGCCACACUGGAACUGAGACACGGUCCAGACUCCUACGGGAGGCAGCAGUAGGGAAUCUUCCGCAAUGGGCGAAAGCCUGACGGAGCAACGCCGCGUGAGUGAUGAAGGUCUUCGGAUCGUAAAACUCUGUUAUUAGGGAAGAACAAAUGUGUAAGUAACUGUGCACGUCUUGACGGUACCUAAUCAGAAAGCCACGGCUAACUACGUG
rnacentral:rRNA from 1 species